rnacentral:lncRNA from 1 species
CCCAAUUCAACCCGUUACCCAUUCCAUUGAAUCGCCUCAACAGCGCUACCUACUCUUUCCAGUCCCAGCUCGUCGGCACUGUCUCUACCUCUUCCUCCCUUGCUAUUUUACAGUCCCUGUUUGCCCAAGCCCUAGACAGCUAGACCGUAAACGCACUUAUUGGGUUACGGCAACAGCACAAGCAAACGUCGACGAUUUUUCGGCACCCGGUGAUUCUAAAGUUCCAUCCUGGUAUAAAAAAGGGAUGGACUUUUUUAAUCUUUUAUUGAGCUUUAUUUUGAACUUCCACUUCAGUUCUCCGUGUUCUGGAAAUGUAUGUUUUUAUUUGUUUCUGUUGUUUUGUUGAAAUUCCUUCACUUACCUUUUCUUGUUAGAAAGUUCGAAUUUUGAUUUUCCCAUCAGUCUUCUUUGCAUCUUUAACUGUUGAUUCUUCAUGUUACCUUGAUUAUUUUUGUAUGUGGGCAUCUAUUGUGUUUUGAAAUUCCUCCAAAAUUUGAGGUUUUCAGAAGAUUGUGG